rnacentral:rRNA from 1 species
GACGAACGCUGGCGGCGUGCUUAACACAUGCAAGUCGAACGGAUAGGCCCUGCUUUUUUGUGGUUCUCGAGUGGCGAACGGGUGAGUAACACGUGAGUAACCUUCCCUUGACUUUGGGAUAACUUCAGGCAACUGGUGCUAAUACCUGCUAGGUGCUCCUGCUGCAUGGUGGGGUUUGGAAAUUUUAGGCUGAUGGGGAUGGACGCGCGGCUUAUCAGCUUGUUGGUGGGGGAGUUGCUUACCAAGGCUUUGGCUGGUAGCCGGCAUGAGAGGGUGAACGGGGACCAUGGGACUGAGGGACGGCCCAGACUCCUACAGGAGGCAGCAGUGGGGAAUCUUGUACAAUCGGGGGAAGCCUGAUGAAGAAACGCUGCGAGCGGGAUGAAGGCCAUCGGGUUGUAAACCGCAUUAGCCUGUGACGAAGCGUGAGUGACGUUAACGGGUAAAGAAGCACCGGCUAACUACGUG